UGAUAUGAAAUCGAGUUCGGUCCAGUGGA
rnacentral:piRNA from 1 species